GGUCCAGGAAAUCUUCCAACCCAGUAAGUCUACAUUAAUUUUUGUACCUUGUCUAUUGUGUCACUUUUUUUUUUUAACGAUUUCUAUUGUGUCACUUUGAAACUUCUUCAAUUGCACUUUGUAAUUGAUUAUAUUGCCCUGUUGUUCAAUAUCUCUCUCUGUCUCUCUCAUGUUUGGUGGAACUGUGAUAGUUCAUUUCUUUAUUUUGGAUUUAUGGGUGUCUGAAUGGGGAUUGAUAUAGGAUAUUUUGAGCAAAUUAAGCGUUGAGGAACUGAAUAUUUAUGCCCCUUAGAAAAGAAGGGGGAAAAAAAAGAAAAGGAAAUUGAAUAUUUUAAUAAUGAUGAUAUUUCUUUUAUUAUAUAAACUAAUAGAAUUUUAAAUUUACUUGAAAUUAAGCUAAUAAUGUGGAAUUACCCUGAAAAUACCCUUUUGGGGCAGGGAAGGCGCAGUGAUAAUAUUCUUCUGAAAUUUUGUAGUUUCUCUAAUUGAUGUGGUGAAGACUGUGUAGACAAAGUAGGACAAACAAUGAAGUAAUGAUGGAAUUUUGCUACUAAGAUUUUGAAAAAAGAGUUGCUGUUGUCAUAGACAAAAAUUCGUUUGUUUUUUUGGUCUAAAUUGCUUCAUAAAUCCAAAUUUAAUGGCAGUGAGUGAAUAAAAUUGAAGGCCAUAGAUGUCCAGCUCCGGGCUUCCUUACCCCCACCGCCUCUUCCUCAUUUCCCUUGAGUCCUGAACUAGAAAAGAGCUCCCCAAAAAAAUAGGG
rnacentral:misc_RNA from 1 species